GUUGGUGUUGAUUGCAGUGAGGGUCCACCCGUUCCCAUCCCGAACACGGAAGUUAAGCUCACUUGCGCCGAAGAUACUUGUUUGGAGACGAACUGGGAAAAUAGGUAACGCCAACA
rfam:Firmicutes bacterium CAG:114 genomic scaffold, scf80